rnacentral:rRNA from 1 species
UACGAAGGGUGCAAACGUUGCUCGGAAUUAUUGGGCGUAAAGCGCACGUAGGCGGCUUGCAAGUCGGAUGUGAAAUCCCUCGGCUUAACCAAGGAAGUGCAUCCGAAACUGCAGAGCUUGAGUACUUAAGAGGAUCGCGGAGUUCCGGUGUAGAGGUGAAAUUCGUAGAUAUCGGGAGGAACACCAGUGGCGAAGGCGGCGAUCUGGGAAGAUACGUGACGCUGAGGUGCGAAAGCGUGGGAGCAAACAGG